rnacentral:rRNA from 1 species
CCUACGGGUGGCAGCAGUGGGGAAUAUUGGACAAUGGGGGCAACCCUGAUCCAGCCAUGCCGCGUGUGUGAAGAAGGCCCUCGGGUUGUAAAGCACUUUCAGUGAGGAAGAACGCCUGGUGGUUAAUACCCAUCAGGAAAGACAUCACUCACAGAAGAAGCACCGGCUAACUCCGUGUCAGCAGCCGCGGUAAUACGGAGGGUGCGAGCGUUAAUCGGAAUUACUGGGCGUAAAGCGCGCGUAGGUGGCUUGAUAAGCCGGUUGUGAAAGCCCCGGGCUCAACCUGGGAACGGCAUCCGGAACUGUCAAGCUAGAGUGCAGGAGAGGAAGGUAGAAUUCCCGGUGUAGCGGUGAAAUGCGUAGAGAUCGGGAGGAAUACCAGUGGCGAAGGCGGCCUUCUGGACUGACACUGACACUGAGGUGCGAAAGCGUGGGUAGCAAACAGGAUUAGAUACCCCGGUAGUC